UAACUAAAGACUAAUAUAUAUAUGCAAUAAAAGAACGCACAACAAAUUGGUAACUCAAUUUGCAAUCUUUAACCGCUUUGUCUGAGGAAGAAAACUUUUGCUUUUCAAAUUUCACUAGACUAAAGAAAAAUCUAUAGCUUAUCAGUACAAAUUUUAUACAAGAGCGAAAAUACAAAACCAUUCUGAUACAUAAAAACCUAGACAAUUACAUUUGUUAUAUACAGUAUAAGGUAUCUAAAACUGACUUCAAUGCUUGCCACAUUGUCUUGUCUUAUAUGGGCAAUGUCAUAACUUUCGGCUCAUAUUCGAACUUUUUUUCUUUCCUCCUCAAAACAUGUCUCCGGUCCAAAAGACAACCAAAGAUUUACAUUCUCGUUCUUUAUAUUCUUGUCAAAAUCUUUGUUAUCAACCCAACUUCCUUAUUUUCCUCGAAACCUGAAUAUCAGUGUCUUCCUUCAGUGAUAGUCAUAUAUGGUGUUACCCUUUUCACCAUCUUCGUAUGAGAUUCUCCUAUAAUAAUCUUUUCUCAUGUGUUUUGUCCUAACUCUUUAGCUUCAUCCUAUACAUUUGAAAUUCUCAGCUCCUAUUGUGAGUAUCCUACCGUUUAGGAAUCUUCAUUUCUAGACCUUGAAGAUUAAUAUGUCCCAUUUCACACCUUCUCCAAUUGCUACUCUUGUGAGUGUCUUCCUAAUGUGUUACUAAUGUUCAGCUAUAAUUGCACAUUCUUUCAACUAUUUCCACUGCACAGACACAUCCUAAGAGAAAUACCUUAGCUGAAGAUGCUCAUGUCGAUUUUCCUUACCUUAACACUUUUCACUUGGUGUUAUUUUUUCCUGUUAAAUGAUCCAGUCGACAUAAAUUUUCUCGCUAUCAUGUAAUCUUUUAGGUAAGAACUUUGAGGCUCGCUCGCCCCUGCACAAACUUCUACUUAGGUUAACUCUUUUUAGUGAGUCCGCUGGAAUUACUAAAGUAUGUAUCUUACAUAGAGAUACUUUUGCAUCGUCAAUAACAUAUAAUCUAUUAAUUUAGGGUCAUAUUUUUAAUCUACUAUACAAAGGUUGUCAUUUAAAUCUGGAUUCUUUUAUAACUUUAGCUUUUUCUAUAGAUGCUUGCCCACCCUUAAUAAAUACUUAAUCUUAACCGAAAAAGUUUAAUGUAAACAGACAUUGACAUAAACCAAAAUUCAGUUAUGAUAUACAAAUAAUGAAUCUAUUCAUAUCACUUACUUUUAAACACACAUUUCAUCUAAUCUACACAUUCCUCGGCAAGAGUUUUCCAUCUGACUUUUCUUGUGAACAAGCUGGACCUAACCUAAGUCUCCAAUGCUUCUCUUCAGUUGAAUACAUGUAUUGUCACACACCAUAUAAUCAAUACUUCUCUCCAGUUGAUAAUCGGCACCUGUCAAACGCCAUAAUCAAAUUUCAUAUCCUACAAUCAUACUAACCCUUAAAAAAUUUAUUCAUACGUUUAGUUUAAUAAAAAUUGUCAUUUUUAUUUGAUAUAUUUCAAAUUCCAAAAUACUGUAUAUAUGAUAAAUUUUAGACUAAAAUCUCCAAGUUUGAAUAUUAUCUUAACCAAUUUCAAAAUAAUAUCCAAAUCUAGAAACUAAAUAGAUCUUUUGAAUCAUUAUAUGUCUAAAAAUAUUUAUUUAAAUUGUUUCCAAGGAAGAUAUCGUAACCAUAUAUUGCUCUACAACAAAAAAGGGAUAUGCCAUAGGAGAUUUUACAUACCUCAAUAUCGCUUGCUCAAAAACAAGAGCUGGGCUAAAUAUCCGAAUCCAAAAAUCCAAACCGAAUCCAAUCCGAUAAAGUAUUACCAAACUGGACUCGAAAUUGGUUAAAUAACCGAACGGAUCCAAAAUUUUGGUAUAUAGAGAACCGGAACGGGAUCCGAACAAAGGUAUUAUGGAUUCCUGAGUGUGUCCGAAAUAGAUUUAUAUAUCUAAAUAUUUUAAUUAUUUUUAGAUUUAAUAUAUAAAUAUCUAAAAUAGAAAAGAUAUUUUAAAAUUGACCAAAAUACUUGAAAUAUAUACAAAUGGUAAAAUUAAAUGUCUAAAAUUGCUAAACAAUACUCAAAACACCAAAAUAAUUGAAAUAUCUAUUGAUUCUCUAUCCAAAUAUUCAAGCUAAACCGAUUUAUUUGUUAAGUUUAGAUAUUUUGACAUACAUUAUUAAAAUUUAUAUUAUAUAAUAAAUUUUAAAAAUUUUAAAAUAAUUUAAACGGGUUAUCCAAACUCGAACCGAACCCGCAAAGAUAUGAACUGAACCCAACCCAAAUUUUAUAAAUACCGAAAUAGGGCUAAAAUCUGUAACCCCGAAAACCCAAAAUCCUAGUAGAUCCCAAACGAACCCGAAUGAGUAUCCGAACACCCACUCCUAUCAAAAACUAUAUAUCAAUAACAAACAAUAUUAUAGUUUUUAUGUAUUUCUAAUAAAUUUAAGACCA